rnacentral:rRNA from 1 species
CCUACGGGAGGCAGCAGUAGGGAAUAUUGCUCAAUGGGGGAAACCCUGAAGCAGCAACGCCGCGUGGAGGAUGAAGGUUUUCGGAUUGUAAACGCCUGUUGUUAGAGAAGAGAAUGACGGUAGCUAACGAAUAAGCACCGGCUAACGCCGUGCCAGCAGCCGCGGUAAUACGGAGGGUACAAGCGUUACUCGGAAUCACUGGGCGUAAAGAGCGCGUAGGCGGGAUAGCAAGUCAGAUGUGAAAUCCUAUGGCUUAACCCUAGAACUGCAUUUGAAACGGUUAUUCUAGAGUCUGGGAGAGGUCGGUUGAAUUCUUGUUGUCGGGGUCAACUCCGU